rnacentral:rRNA from 1 species
UGGCGACACCGCGCGGAACCCGAAAGCCGUUCUCAGUUCGGAUCGGAGUCUGCAACCCGACUCCGUGAAGCUGGAUUCGCUAGUAAUCGCGCAUCAGCCAUGGCGCGGUGAAUACGUUCCCGGGCCUUGUACACACCGCCCGUCAAGCCAUGGGAGCCGGGGGUGCUUGAAGUGCGUCGCCGCAAGGCGCGCCCUAGAGCAAAACCGGUGACUGGGGCUAAGUCGUAACAAGGUAAC